UACGUAGGAGGCAAGCGUUGUCCGGAAUCACUGGGCGUAAAGGGCGCGUAGGCGGCCGUGUAAGUCACUUGUGAAAUCCCGGGGCUCAACCCCGGGGCUGCAGGUGAGACUGCGUGGCUAGAGCACGGUAGAGGCGAGUGGAAUUCCCGGUGUAGCGGUGGAAUGCGUAGAUAUCGGGAGGAACACCUGUGGUGUAGACGGCUUACUGGACCGCAACUGACGCUGAGACACGAAAGCGUGGGUAGCAAACAGG
rnacentral:rRNA from 1 species